GGGCAAUAAAAGCAAUACGUUUUUUUUAUUUAAUUAUAUUUUGUUCGAAUUAAAGCCUCAGCUGUUAACAUGCUAGAAAGGAUCAGUCGAGUCCUGCAACGUGCAAACAAGGGUUUAGAUAAAGAGAAUAAACUGGAAGAUGCUGACAAUGAAGAAGGCCUGAAUGGCCGUUUCUCUGCAGGGCGAGCUGAUGCAUCAGCUGCAGCAGGAGCAAAAGCUGCUACAGAGCUCAGAGCCCAGAAGAAGAUGCUUGAAGCACAAGUCAGAGUUUUACACCUUCUAGUUCAGCUUUUAUUGUUACUCUUCGACCUGACUGUGAUGUUUUCAUUAAUUAUUAACUCGCUGAGUCAAUAUUGCUUAUUGGGUUCAAGCAUCUAUAAAUAUAUAAAGCACCCUGCGAUGCAUGUACUCACAUGUAGGAGCUGGCUUUGCAGCCUGAAGAUGAGGCAGUGGACAGGGUGAAGAUGGAGGAUGCCUUAAAGAGGGAUUCUUUUACGACCAGGCUUUUGCCAUAUAUGGAGGUCAAAUACUAGAAUUCAUUGUCCACUAUUUGUAAUAUUAACGUCCUUUUCCUCAGGUGUGAGCGGCCCUGUAUGACUUUGGCCCAGUUGGCUGCUCCCUAAAGAACAACAUCCUGCAGACCUGGAGGCAGCACUUCAUCCAGGAGGAGCAGAUCCUGGAGGUCGACUGCACCAUGCUGACCCCUGAGCCGUCCUUUAAGUGUGUGCGAUCUCACGCCACGAAAACUCUUGACCGAGUGCACAUUUAAGUUGCACAGACUUCCCUCAGACCUGCUGCUUUUCACAGGACAUCUGGGCACGUGGAUGAAUUCGCUGACUACAUAGUGAAAGAUGCAAAGACCGGGGAGUGCUGUCGAGCCGACCACCUCCUCAAGGGGAAUGUGCUUCAUUAGAGGAUUAAAAUGAGCCUGUUGUCAGUCGACAUUCCACAGUUUUAGUGCAUGAAGUCUUUGUUUCUUCACAGCUUACUUAAAAAAGUGAUGUCUGAUGAGAAAUGCUUACAAGAGAACGUGAAGGAGGUGAAAGACGUAAUUACUCAGAGGGAUAACUACAGUCAGCAGGAGCUGGAGGAACUGUUUGUCAAGUAUAAAGUUAAAUCUCCCUCCACAGGAAAUGACCUCAUACCUCCCGUCUCCUUCAACCUGAUGUUCCAGACGUCCAUCGGACCAGGGGGCAACACGUCUGGCUGUCUGAGGCCUGAAACCGCUCAGGGCAUGUUCCUCAACGUCAGGCGCCUGCUGGAGUUCAACCAGGGCAAGCUUCCCUUCAGAGCAGCCCAGAUCGGAAACAGGAACGAGAGGGUUCACUGCGCGUGCGACUGCUGGGACGCAGAGGCCAGAACCUCCUACGGCUGGGUUGAGAUUGUGGGCUGUGCCGAUCGCUCCUGUCAGUGGUGCCCCUCAGCCCCUCUGGUGGCUGAAAAACCCUUGGAAGAACCCAUAGCCUUUGAUGGUUCCAGUCCAACAAUCCACAACACCUACACGGUCAUAGUUUUAUGUGUGAAUGAAGGGAAAUCAAAUAAUCAUGAUGCUAAUUGUUAAAGUGUUGACUCAGUUCGUAUUUAGCUGAUUCUCCUUUAACUUCUUCCUACAAAGUGGUGAACGUCGUGCAGUUUGAGCCCAACAAAGGAGCCAUCGGCGCAGCUUACAAGAAGAACGCCAAGCUGGUUCUGGACUUCCUCAUCUGCGUGUGAUGAGCGUUACAACAGUGAUCAGGAGAAGCUUCUCAGUGGCACUGGUUUCAGUCACUCCUCGGGCUCCAUCGGGAGGCGCUACGCCAGGUGCGACGAGAUUGGCGUGGCCUUCGGUGUCACCGUCGACUUCGACGCGGUGAACAGGACGCCGCACACGGCCACGCUGAGGGAGCGAGACUCUAUGAGGCAGAUCAGAGCUGAGGUCGCAGAGCUUCCAGGGAUGGUCCAACAUCUGGCCAGUGGUGCGUUGACGUGGGCUGAGGUGGAGAGCAAGUUCCCCAUAUUUGAAGGACAGGAGACCAGCAAGAAGGAGUAGCUGGUGUCUGUGCUGUCAGCGAACAUUUGAGCACUGAUACUGUAAAAAAUGAGUUCAUCGGCUCAGCUGUUGUUAAUAAACCUUUCUCUGAGUGAA